UACGGGGGGGGCAAGCGUUGUUCGGAAUUACUGGGCGUAAAGGGUUCGUAGGUGGCCGACUAAGUCAGACGUGAAAUCCCUCAGCUCAACUGGGGAACUGCGUCUGAGACUGGCCGGCUUGAGUGCAGGAGAGGAACGCGGAAUUCCAGGUGUAGCGGUGAAAUGCGCAGAUAUCUGGAGGAACACCGGUGGCGAAGGCGGCGUUCUGGACUGCAACUGACACUGAGGAACGAAAGCCAGGGGAGCAAACGGG
rnacentral:rRNA from 1 species